ACAGGGAUUGCCCUAGUAACGGCGAGUGAAGCGGCAACAGCUCAAAUUUGAAAUCUGGCGUCUUCGGCGUCCGAGUUGUAAUUUGCAGAGGGCGCUUUGGUAUUGGCAGCGGUCCAAGUUCCUUGGAACAGGACGUCACAGAGGGUGAGAAUCCCGUACGUGGUCGCUAGCCUUUACCGUGUAAAGCCCCUUCGACGAGUCGAGUUGUUUGGGAAUGCAGCUCUAAAUGGGAGGUAAAUUUCUUCUAAAGCUAAAUACUGGCCAGAGACCGAUAGCGCACAAGUAGAGUGAUCGAAAGAUGAAAAGCACUUUGGAAAGAGAGUUAAAAAGCACGUGAAAUUGUUGAAAGGGAAGCGCUUGCAGCCAGACUUGCCUGUAGUUGCUCAUCCGGGUUUCUACCCGGUGCACUCUUCUAUAGGCAGGCCAGCAUCAGUUUGGGCGGUUGGAUAAAGGUCUCUGUCAUGUACCUCUCUUCGGGGAGAACUUAUAGGGGAGACGACAUGCAACCAGCCCGGACUGAGGUCCGCGCAUCUGCUAGGAUGCUGGCGUAAUGGCUGUAAGCGGCCCGUCUUGAAACACGGACCAAGGAGUCUAACAUCUAUGCGAGUGUUUGGGUGUCAAGCCCGAGCGCGUAAUGAAAGUGAACGGAGGUGGGAACCUUUCGGGGUGCACCAUCGACCGAUCCUGAUGUCUUCGGAUGGAUUUGAGUAAGAGCAUAGCUGUUGGGACCCGAAAGAUGGUGAACUAUGCUUGAAUAGGGUGAAGCCAGAGGAAACUCUGGUGGAGGCUCGCAGCGGUUCUGACGUGCAAAUCGAUCGUCAAAUUUGGGCAUAGGGGCGAAAGACUAAUCGAACUAUCUAGUAGCUGGUUCCUGCCGAAGUUUCCCUCAGGAUAGCAGUAACGUUUUCAGUUUUAUGAGGUAAAGCGAAUGAUUAGAGGCCUGGGGGUUGAAACAACCUU
rnacentral:rRNA from 1 species